AUGGCCAGCAGCGACUUCGACGACGGAGCGGCACCGGCAGGCUCCUGGCCAUCUAGCUUGACGCUGGCGCAGAACGAGGACCUCGCGUGGUUCGGCCUCUACGUUCCGCUUGUGGCGAUGGUACCGCAGCCGUGGAGGAUCUCCGCUGAGGGCCUCGCCACGCAAGGGCCGCCGGCGACCGAGGACAAGUUGCGCCGCCACCCCGACGGCCGGUGGAACAUCAGGAACUGGUGGCGGUGCUGGGAGGCCAAGUACUUCGACAAUGUCAUCAUUGUGUACCAGCAGGCGGAAAGAGGCUUGAACCCCUUCCUUGCCGACGACGCCGCCGGAGCGGGCUCCUCCCGCGGCCGCACCCGUGCCCCCGUUGCCGCCCCCGCGCCCGCCCCGCCCCUGCCCCGACGGAUGUUCCAAUCGCGCCAGAGCAGGCGGUGA
rnacentral:rRNA from 1 species